AGUGAACGCUGGCGGCGUGCUUAACACAUGCAAGUCGAACGAGAACGGGUUAUAGCUUGCUAUAAUUGUCAGCUAAGUGGCGCACGGGUGAGUAAUGUAUAGGUAAUAUGCCUCUUACUAAGGGAUAACAAAUGGAAACGUUUGCUAAUACCUUAUACUCCUUAUUAACAUAAGUUAAUAAGGGAAAGAUUUAUUGGUAAGAGAUUAGCCUGUAUUGUAUCAGUUAGUUGGUGGGGUAAUGGCUUACCAAGACUAUGACACAUAACUGGUUUGAGAGGAUGAUCAGUCACACUGGAACUGAGACACGGUCCAGACUCCUACGGGAGGCAGCAGUGGGGAAUAUUGCACAAUGGACGAAAGUCUGAUGCAGCAACGCCGCGUGAGGAUGACACAUUUCGGUGCGUAAACUCCUUUUAUAUGAGAAGAUAAUGACGGUAUUAUAUGAAUAAGCACCGGCUAACUCCGUGCCAGCCGCCGCGGUAA
rnacentral:rRNA from 1 species